AGAUUGAACGCUGGCGGCAGGCCUAACACAUGCAAGUCGAGCGGCAGCACGGGUACUUGUACCUGGUGGCGAGCGGCGGACGGGUGAGUAAUGCCUAGGAAUCUGCCUGGUAGUGGGGGAUAACGCUCGGAAACGGACGCUAAUACCGCAUACGUCCUACGGGAGAAAGCAGGGGACCUUCGGGCCUUGCGCUAUCAGAUGAGCCUAGGUCGGAUUAGCUAGUUGGUGAGGUAAUGGCUCACCAAGGCGACGAUCCGUAACUGGUCUGAGAGGAUGAUCAGUCACACUGGAACUGAGACACGGUCCAGACUCCUACGGGAGGCAGCAGUGGGAAUAUUGGACAAGUGGGACGAAAAGCCUAGAUCCAGCCAUGCCGCGUGUGUGGAAGAAGGUCGUUACGGAUUUAGUAAAGCCUAACGUUUUAAGUUGGGAAGGAAGGGCUAAGGUUAACCCUAAAGUUACGUAUUCGUUAGUUUUGAACGUUUACCGACAAGAAUAACGCAACCGGCUAAACUCGUGUACGCCAA
rnacentral:rRNA from 1 species